CGACGAAUCAUUCAAGUUUCUGCCCUAUCAGCUUUGGAUGGUAGGGUAUUGGCCUACCAUGGCUUUGACGGGUAACGGAGAAUUGGGGUUCGAUUCCGGAGAGGGAGCCUGAGAGAUGGCUACCACAUCCAAGGAAGGCAGCAGGCGCGUAAAUUACCCAACCCUGACACAGGGAGGUAGUGACAAUAAAUAACAAUGCCGGACUUUCAGUCUGGCAAUUGGAAUGAGAACAAUUUAAAUCCCUUAUCGAGGAUCAAUUGGAGGGCAAGUCUGGUGCCAGCAGCCGCGGUAAUUCCAGCUCCAAUAGCGUAUACUAAAGUUGUUGCAGUUAAAAAGCUCGUAGUUGGAUUUCUGGUGGGGACAGCUGGUCGGGCUGGGAACAGCCUGCACUUGUGCUGGUCUUCAUCAUCCUUGGGGAGAGCAGGCGUGGCAUUAAGUUGUCGGGUCUGGGAUCCUCAUCGUUUACUGUGAAAAAAUUAGAGUGUUCAAAGCAGGCUUAGGCCGUGAAUACAUUAGCAUGG
rnacentral:rRNA from 1 species